rfam:Saprolegnia parasitica CBS 223.65 unplaced genomic scaffold supercont2.3, whole genome shotgun sequence.
CCGAGCAUAGCUCAGUUGGUAGAGCGUUUGACUGUAGUUGGGUAUUCGUAUACGAAUUCGGAAAUCAAAUGGCCACCGGUUCGAUUCCGGUUGCUCGGA